GAUGAAGAACGUAGCGAAAUGCGAUAAGUAAUGUGAAUUGCAGAAUCCCGUGAACCAUCGAGUCUUUGAACGCAAGUUGCGCCCGAAGCCAUUAGGCCGAGGGCACGCCUGCCUGGGUGUCACACGUCGUUGCCCCCCCAUCUACUCCUUCGGGAUUGCGGGGGGCGGAUGAUGGCCUCCCGUGCGCCUCGUCGCGCGGUUGGCAUAAAUGCCAAGUCCUCGGCGACGCACGCCACGACAAUCGGUGGUUGCGAAACCUCGGUUGCCCGUCGUGUGCGGUCGUCGCGCAUCGAGGGCUCGAAAAAAUUGCCGGGCUCCGGCUCGGCUUUCAACGCGACCCCAGGUCAGGCGGGGUUACCCGCUGAAUUUAAGCAUAUCAAUAAGCGGAGGA
rnacentral:misc_RNA from 1 species